AAAUAAAUGGAAUGCUGCAGUAUAUUAAAUAUAGAUUUCAGACGUUAUUAAAUGAUAUAACCUAAAUAAGUGAAUUAAUAAUCCAACUAAAACGACACUUUAACAUAACCUUAGAUUUAUAUAUCUAAUAGUUAAUUGUUGAACAACGUUGUAUGUUUAGAAUUAAGCUAAGAAAGUGUAUAAAUCGCUGUAAAACAUUAUGGUGAAUUGUAAAAGUUAAAUAUCUUAUAAAAGAAUUUCGAAAAACUUGUAAUUAUUAAAAAUUAGAAUAUUAUAUAAACUUCUUUCCGUUUGGAAUGGAGCCAAGGAAUCAAACCGUGUUCAGGGAUUUAAGAAACAAAAUGCAAUCAGAUCAAAGGCAACAAGAUGUAGUCGUCCAAUACUGCAUGUUAC
rnacentral:misc_RNA from 1 species